rnacentral:tRNA from 1 species
GGGGGCGUAGCUCAGUUGGUAGAGCAACAGCCUUUUAAGCUGGUGGUCGAAGGUUCAAAUCCUUCCGCCCUCAC